AUGACAUGUCUUGGGCACUUUUUUUUUGUCCCAGCAAAUACAAAAGUCUGGGUCUCGCUGUAUCGCUCAGGCUGCACUGCAGUGUCUAUUCACAGGUGCGAUCCCACUACUGAUCGACACGGGGGCUUUGACCUGCUCCGUCUCCGACCUGGGCCGGUUCACCCCUCCUUAGACCUGGUGGUCCCGAGCUCCCCCAGGAACACCAUAUCGAUACCGAACUUAGUGUGGACACCUGAUCAACAUAGUCCACUGCAGCCCAGAACCCCUGAACUCAAGCGAUCCGCCAGCCUCAGUCUCCCAGCAGCUUGGAUUACAGGCGCGCGCCACUGCACCCGACGAGAGCUGCAGCAUCAGCGCUGAUACUCAAUCUAGAGAUCACUGACACCUCGAGUACAGCACAGCAGAAUAUUAUGUUUUGGCAAUUAAUUUGAAGUAUGCACAUUUUCUCUGCAGCACACUCAAUGAUUAUAAUAUAAUAUAAAACAUUACCAUAUAAAAGUUCUGUAAUCUAUUUUGCCUACCAGUCAACAGUUUAAGAACAGUAAGAUUUUAUUUAUGUUUUUAAAGAAGUCUCUUCUGCUCACCAAACCUGCAUUGAUUUGAUCCAGAACACAGCAAAAGCAGUAAUAUUGUGAAUUAAUUGUACUAUUUAAAACAACAGUUUUCUAUUUGAAUAUGUUUUAAAAUGUAAUUUAUUCCUGUGACCAAAGCUGUAUUUUCAGCAUCAUUACUCCAGUCUUCAGUGUCUCAUCCUUCAGAAAUCAUUCUAAUAUGCUGAUUUGCUGAUUAUCAAUAUUUAAAACAUAUGAGUACAUUUUUCAGUAUUCUUUGAUGAAUAGAGUGGUUUCCAAAGAUCAGCAUUUAUUUGAAAUAAAAAGCUUUUGCAACAUUAUUUACUAUAUCAUUCAAAAGCUUAGAUUUUUUUUUUUUAGCAGCAAAUCAGAAUAGUAGAAUUAUUUCUGAAGGAUCGUGUGAAUGGAGUAAUGAUGCUAAAACUUCAGCUUUGAAAUCUCAAUAAAUUACAUUUUGAAAUAUAUUCAAAUAGAAAUCAGUUAUUGUUUUGCUGUACUUUGGAUCAAAUAAAUGCAGGCUUGGUGAACAGAAGAGACUUCUUUAAAAAACAUUAACAAGCUUACUGUUCAAAAACUUUUUAUUGGUAGUGUAUAAGCAACUUCAAUUUUUCUCUAACGGCUUAUAAUUGGCUUAUAAAUCUAUAACUGCUGGACAAUAACAAAUAAUUAUGAUCUGUUUAUAUACUACAAACACUUUUUUAUCACAUAAUAAGGCAGAAUAGUUUCUUGUAAUAAUAAUGUGUUCGUGUUUCCAAAAGUGUCUGUUUUUCUGUGUAAACAACUGUUUUCACACAGCAUAGCUGGAUGCUUUUGUCCAUAUUAGGAGUUUCCUGGUAUGGUUUUCUGCGCGAGAGCGCCCUCUUGCUUCGAGUAUGAAUGAAACACACACUGCAGGAGAGUUUAGCGCUCUGUGAUGUUCAUCUCGCCUUCUGGGUCCGAAUAAAAUAUCAUAUCAUGCGCAGACCGUCGUAUCUCUUUGAGUUCAAUCUAUAUAUAUUCACACCAGCUCUUGAAAACAUCUUUGUGAACACACUUGACCGAAAAAGUGGGGGGGACGAAUUUCUGUGAUGUUAAAAGUGGGGGGACACACGUAAUCAUGUAAGGACCCCACGUAAUACAAGCCCCUGGUCGUGGUCCUUUCACAGAUGCUCCUGAGCCAGAUGUUAGACCAUGAUGUUGUAUCUAAGUAAACUAUAAGGGUGUAACAGAAAUGACUCAAGCCAGACAAAUUAAAGAGGGCUGUUUUUGAAACACGAGCCGAAUUCCUCAGGAAGUCAUAAAUCAGUUCUAGUGCCACAAGACCCAAGCAGGAUGACCAACCAACUUUUUCACAAAACAGCUUUCAACAUUAACACCACUAGAACAAUUAUUGACAAUUUUUAUUAACCGAAGAGAUUGUCAAAUUUGUUGUUCGUAAUUGAAAUGCAAUGCUGGACAUCACAUGAAAACCCAUGAGAGUACUGCACAAGUUCCAUUGACUUCCCCCACCCAGCAGAACCAGACUGAAAUUCCUGAGGGGGAAGGGCUUUGAACCUCUGGUCUCCACAGAAAUCCUUGUCAAGAGAAUGACAAAGAAACUGUUUUUUGUACAUAUAUAUGGACCAAAAUGAACUCUAAAAUGACUUCUAAAUGAAUAUCAUUCCAUCGCUUAACUCCAUAUCAAUUUAUAUGUACCCCACACAUUUGACUAUCAUGUUAUAAUCACUUAUUGUGUAUGUCUUUUAAUAACUAUGGGAUAGCUUAAGGAUAUAUAGUCAUGUCUAGUAUCUAUGUAAUGGAAUCUGCUUGCUUGAGAUAGCCCAGACAAUCAAUUUUAUGUCAAAUGUAUCAUAUGCGUGUUAUAGGAAUCAUGUCCAAAAUUAGACCCUGCAAGAGCUGGAAAAUUCGGACCACAUGCUUGGUAAGAUAUCAUAUGAUUUAUGAUACCCCCGAGCCAAGACAAUAUCUGAUUGGUCAAGAGACAAUUUGAGGUGUGGCCAACAGACCAGUUUAAAUACUUAGGACACCAUAAAAUCUUGCUUUUAGUCUCUAGCUUUUAGCUUUUAGUCUCUAGCUAUGCUUCUGCUAUUAGUCAUGUCUGCUUUUAGUUUUAGCUUUUAGCUUUGCUUAUUAGCUUUAGCUUAUAGCCAUGCUGUUAGUCAUCACUGUUCUUUGAGCGCGGUUGCAGCGUGCUUCAGCCUGCACGCCUGCUGCUACUUAGCCACGAUGAGAAGGAACACAACAUAGUCUCGACAAACUUCACUUCUUUUCUUUUCCGUUUGAGAGUUUCGUGUUCUGAGUUAAGUUUGUAACGUCGAGUUCAACUUCAACCAGCCACACACAACUCUGCAUUUUCAUCCAACGCCCAACCAGGGCUACCCAAGACGUCACUUCACGACUACUGAACUUCCAGCCAAUCAGCCACAUCGGGAAAAUCCCCUUUCAACGACAACAAAGGGGACUGUCUUUACACAGGAGAUACAAGUACUUACCUCCAGACUCUGAUUUGUACUGGUGUAUCUAAUAUAAUUUUAACCUCAUUGAGGAACUCAAUGCGAGGGCUAAUUACGUUAUUGAUGGUUGUUCAUGUCUAUGCAAUUUAACGUAUUGCUGUAAACUUGGAACUCUUAAAUUCAUCUUUCCCUAACUUUCGAUCUUCUUGCAAUUUGUGUGAAUGUGUGAGUGCGUGCGUUUAUGUGUUAGAUUAGUUUAUAUGUCUUAGAUUUAUCUAAUAAAGCCUUAUUCAUAUUGAAAAGAGAAGUAUGUUGUGUUUUGUGCUUACAAGUUAAUGUCUUAAACUGCCGAUCUUGUUACUGUGCUAAUUGAUUGUGUUUUCACUAUACUUUGGAUAUUAAUAAUAUCCCCGUUCAGUGAAUCGCUGGGCGUCUCAGUGAUCGGCCGUGAAACAGUGAUUCUGUUCAAAUUCUUAAAUGAUUCCCUUCGAGCUAAAUUGACCUGUUUCGCUUACAAGGGGUCCAGUAUGGGUGGGACAGUGGCAUUGACGCUGGUCAUGACAAGUUCUCAAAUCACUUCAUGAUGAUAGACGAGAGUGCUACAGGCAGAUAAUCAUUGAGAUAGGAUAUUGUUGACUUCUUGUGUGCAGGGGUUAUUUAUUUUUUAAUCUGGAUGAUAAACAGUCAAACUUCCAUAAGAAAACCCACAAACAAUCAUAGGUGUAAAAAAACUGGACAUUAUUAGGUGUUUAAGAGUUAUUUCCAUGUUUUUGUUCUUAUGUCUAAUGGCUUGUCAAUAUAAUUGCCUUUUAAAGAAAUAAUCAAAAUUUGUCAGUAAAACCAUUUUUUUAAGAGCUUAAUAAGGAGUUCUUGUAGUUCAAACAUUUCUUGGAAUCUUUUUUAUUUUUUUUUAUUUUUUGUCCCAGUCCAGGACUGGUUAUUUGAGAGCAAACCCAAAAGUCUGGGUCUCUCUGUAUCGCUCAGGCUGCGCUGCAGUGUCUAUUCACAGGAGCGAUCCCACUACUGAUCGACACGGGGGCUUUGACCUGCUCCGUCUCCGACCUGGGCCGGUUCACCCCUCGUUAGACGACCUGGUGGUCCCGAGCUCCCCCAGGAGCACCAUAUCGAUACCGAACUUAGUGUGGACACCUGAUCAACAUAGUCCACUGCAGCCCAGAACCCCUGAACUCAAGCGAUCCGCCAGCCUCAGUCUCCCAGCAGCUUGGAUUACAGGCGCGCGCCACUGCACCCGACGAGAGCUGCAGCAUCAGCGCUGAUACUCAAUCUAGAGAUCACUGACUAGGACUACGCUAUGCUGCAAAUCAACACUGAGGUUUAGACAAAUCGUAUAAAAUCGUACGAGUGAGGUCGUACAAAUUGGUACUAAUUAGCCACCUCGUAAAAAACGUACGAAUUGUUUGUGAGAUAGCGUUACAUUCUUGCUUGCAGCUCUCGUCGGGUGCAGUGGCGCGUGCCUGUAAUCCAAGCUGCUGGGAGACUGAGGCUGGCGGAUCGCUUGAGUUCAGGGGUUCUGGGCUGCAGUGGACUAUGUUGAUCAGGUGUCCACACUAAGUUCGGUAUCGAUAUGGUGCUCCUGGGGGAGCUUGGGACCACCAGGUCGUCUAAGGAGGGGUGAACCGGCCCAGGUCAGAGAUGGAGCAGGUCAAAGCCCCCGUGUCGAUCAGUAGUGGGAUCGCGCCUGUGAAUAGACACUUCAGUGCAGCCUGAGCGAUACAGAGAGACCCAGACUUUUGGGCUUGUUCCUGCAGAUGGACAGUUCAAUGAUAAUCAAAUAGUUUUGCUCUUACUUGUCAACUUAAGAUUUUGUAGCAUUUUACAAAUUUGUAAACUGUUUUAAACUUUUUAUCUUUUCAGCAAUGAUAUUUGCGGCGUUGCACUUGUUUUUAAUUGAAGAGGCGCUCCGUAUUUCAUGACAAAUGACUGGUACUAUAUCUUAAAUGACUGGUAGCCUACUAUAUCGUCUCUCUGUGGAAGUGAUAUUUCUCUUCA
ensembl:lncRNA